AAAUCCAAGGGAUUCAAAAAGCAUAUCUCAGUAUACACCUAGGUUGAUAAUCCGGAUCUCUCGAUUGUUAAUGAAGCACAAGAUGUUAGGUCAGAGAUGAAGGCUGUCGCAAUUAUACGGAGAAUAUUGUACAUUACGUAUAUUGUGAUAGACAGAAUCAAUUAUAUGAUACGCAAAAAUGCUAGAGCACAUGUUCUUCUUGGGACCCAAUAUGGGUGUCGUCAUCUCUUGGUGUCAGCUGGUUAAGGUGGAAGAAGCAAAUUUUGUGUCUAUAUUUGCCAAAUUGCAGCUUAUUCCAAUGCUUUGCUUCGUGGCCUUAACUGCAAUACGACAUGAACCCUUUUGUCCAGAUUAGCAUCGUUUUCACCGGAACAUGUUUCAUGCCGAUUGAUACCCUUAAAAGAAAAGGAGGAAAAAGAGAGAAUGCCUAGAUCUCCAAUGAUGAAAAGGUUCAAAAUCACACUAAGCUCGAGAAAGAUGAAAGAAAAAAAAGAUGGAGAUAAGACUUAAUAUAUUUCACGUUAUCAUGAUACAAAAUCCAACAGACAACUCUCUCUCUCUCUCUCUCUCUCUUCAUGAUUGUUUACACUGCAUUUUGUCACGGCUUUGCCCUCUAGUUAUUGGCAAAAGAAGAAGAUUUCAAAGAUCCCACCACUUUCCCCGUUCCCUCACUCCUGUAUCUUUGCUUGCUUCCAUCAUGAUGUUAUGAUAGUGAUCCUGCAUAUAACCAUUGAUGUAUCACCCAAUUCGUCUCCAAAGAAAGUUAAAGAUAACCUCUCUCUCUCUCUCUCCCACAAGUUUUCACCUCCCUAAUGAGUGCAAUGACCAAAAGCAAAAGAGUAUCAAGCUUAGUGGGGUGGGGGCACGGGGGCAAAAUCAUUAGGCCUCAAUCAACUAGCGACACGGCGAACAGACGUCAAUCACUGUGCAGAAAACAUUCCGGGUCUAGUGUUCUCUUUUCUUAGGACCUUUGUUGGGUCCGGCUAGUUGUUGCACUGUGAUCGGUAUUCGUCGUCGGUCUUAUUCUAAACCGGAAAAACCUACCAUGCUGAUGCCCUGAGAACAAGGUCUGCUGUGUCCAUGAAAAACAGAAAGGUUGCUGAGAGAGGCUAAAUCUGCACUCCUGGCGGCCUCGGCACAAAACAGGUGCACUUCUCUGGUCUGCUCUUGCUAUGCGCCGUCGCGGAGUUUCAGUGGUAAUUGCGAGGCAAGAAAUAGAGGUAGCAGUGCGAGGAAGUUGUCUCCGGUGGCGCAGAGAGAUGGGGUCACGGAAGAGCUACGGGGUAACGAAAUCGGAGGUCGAGUGAAGCGCCAUGGUGGGCCUUGUCAUGCUCAUGGGGGAGUCCCUAUUCAUAAGAGCAGCCUCAAGAAAGCCACUGAACCGGAUGAACUUCAGCGAAGGACGGAGUGCAGGAAAGUCAAUUGGCCCGAUGCUCAUGGAAAGGACAUUGCGCAUGUGCAUGAAUUCGAGCCGAGUGUUUCAGAAGAUGGAGAAAUUGGCGGGGUUAGGAAUUCUUGUGUUUGCUCAAUUCAAUGAAACAGCACAUGCCAAGGUACAAAUGUCCAGCUUGUGAGUACCUGAUUUUCUCAAGUACUUUCUGUCCCCAAGUGCUGUCUUCUACUCAAAUUUCCACCGGUGAAUGGGAAAUAUCAUCGGUUAGCAUUUGAGAUGACAAUUCACUCUCAGAACAUAUCUUCUGAUUCAACUCACCAAGAUAAUCGGAAAUUCGAAUGAAGAAUUAGCGCGGGGUUAUGUCUAUUGACGCAUGCGCUGAUCUGGGUUUAGCGGAGACAAUAUAAGCUAUUAAACAUUCUUGGUCAUUGUCUUCGAGCUGUUUCUUCAACUAAUAUAUUUAGCCAAUUCUUUCAGUACUUGUAAUUAAGUAGAUACUGUCCCUUGUCUGUUUUAGCUGAAAAUGAAACGUAAUAGGUGAAA